rnacentral:rRNA from 1 species
UACGUAGGGAGCAAGCGUUGUCCGGAAUCAUUGGGCGUAAAGCGCGCGUAGGUGGCCUCGUAAGUCCGCUGUAAAAGUCAAAGGCUCAACCUUUGAAAGCCGGUGGAUACUGCGGGGCUAGAGUACGGAAGAGGCGAGUGGAAUUCCUGGUGUAGCGGUGGAAUGCGCGGAUAUCAGGAGGAACACCAAUAGCGAAGGCAGCUCGCUGGGACGUUACUGACACUGAGGCGCGAAAGCGUGGGGGAGCGAACAGG